rnacentral:tmRNA from 1 species
GGGGUUGUACUGGUUUCGACGGGGGUUUUGCAGUUGUGGAAGCCAUCUGCGGGCCGGGACCGCAUAGUAAACCGGAAUUAAAAUUAAACGCAAACGAUAAUUUAGCGUACGCAGCCUAAUGGCUGCUGUCGGCCUUAGGUCUCUCGCAGCUUAAGUCACCGGCAUCAAAUCUUGCGAGGCACUCUGCGUUCAAAGCUUUGAGAAGGCAGAAGAAUGAAUGAAGCUACUGAAUCCGACAGCCUGUCUUUCGGCGGUCGGAGGAGGGAAUGUCAAAAGAGAGACUGUGAUGGGAGAUGCCGCGAUGAAUAGGCUUUCGGACAGGGGUUCGAUUCCCCUCAGCUCCACUU